rnacentral:rRNA from 1 species
GACGAACGCUGGCGGCGUGCUUAACACAUGCAAGUCGAGCGGUAAGGCCCUUUCGGGGGUACACGAGCGGCGAACGGGUGAGUAACACGUGGGUGACCUGCCCUCAGCUCUGGGAUAAGCCUGGGAAACUGGGUCUAAUACCGGAUAUGACUUCGCAUCGCAUGGUGUGGGGUGGAAAGUUUUUCGGCUGGGGAUGGGCCCGCGGCCUAUCAGCUUGUUGGUGGGGUGAUGGCCUACCAAGGCGACGACGGGUAGCCGGCCUGAGAGGGCGACCGGCCACACUGGGACUGAGACACGGCCCAGACUCCUACGGGAGGCAGCAGUGGGGAAUAUUGCGCAAUGGGCGGAAGCCUGACGCAGCGACGCCGCGUGGGGAUGACGGCCUCGG